GCGGCGUACGGGUGCGGAACACGUGUGCAACCUGCCUUUAUCUGGGGGAUAGCCUUUCGAAAGGAAGAUUAAUACCCCAUAAUAUGUUGAAUGGCAUCAUUCGACAUUGAAAACUCCGGUGGAUAGAGAUGGCACGCGCAGAUUAAUAGUUGGUGAGGUACGGCUCACAAGUCUACGAUCUAGGGGCCUGAAGGUGAUCCCCACACUGGUACUGAACCGGACCAGACUCCUACGGGAGGCAGCAGUGGAGGGAAUAUUGGGACCAUGGGGUGAGAGCCCUUGGAUUCCCAGCCAUCCCCGGCGUUGGAAGGGACGGACUUGCCCUAUUGGGGUUUGGUAAAAACUUUCCUUUUUGGUUAUUAGGGGGAUUAAAACCCUACCCCUCGUUGGAGGGGUAGCUUGAAAGGGUACUAUACGAAUAAGCACCGGCUAACUCCGUGCCAAGCAGCCGCGGUUAAUACGGAGGGGUGCAAGCCGUUUAUCCCGGGAUUUAUUGGGUUUAAAAGGGGUCCGUAGGCGGGAUCUGUAAAGUCAGUGGUGAAAUCUCACAGCUUAACUGUGAAAACUGCCAUUGAUACUGCAGGUCUUGGAGUGUUGUUG
rnacentral:rRNA from 1 species